CCGACAAACGCCGGGGAAGCGGAAAGAGCGGGAGCUGGCGUGGGACGGGAGAAGGAAGGCUGGGUGCGUUCCCCUCCUAGAAAGGGUGGGGAAGCAAAACCCUUUGCAGCUCCUGGUUUAGAAGGAUCCUUCGUGGUGGGACGCUGGGUCUGAGGUUCCGGGCACACACAGAGAACAAACCGAGGAGAAAAAAACGCACCCUACCAAUAAAUUAUGGUGAAAGGACCUUGCCUUAGAAAAGGAAAUGCCCAGGCUUCAUCUGAGCCCUGGGAUGGUGGGGGAAGAGUUGUAGGAAACAAAUGGCUUGAGGGGCUUAACACAACCCAGUCUCCGCCCCCCCCCCAACCGGGCUCAAGUCUUGACAACGUUCCUUCCGGUCAGCCUGUCCCCUUGCCACAGUCCAUGAAGUGACACCAUUCUUAAGGCUUCUCAAAAGCACCGUUAUUUCAGUUAAUUCCAGCAAGCUGGACUACACUUAACAUAUGCCCUUUGGUGGAGUGGAGACGACUUGUCUGUCCUGUCCAAGCUUAAAUACCAAGGGAAUGACUUUAAAUCUUGCUGGAUGGAACCGCCACUCACCGCUAGAAAUCGGGGAUCAACAGCGAACUCUGGAUGACCCUGUAACCACAUCUCCAGUUCAGCCCGGCGAGGGGCAUCCUCACCCA